AGAGUUUGAUCCUGGCUCAGAACGAACGCUGGCGGCGCGUAUUAAGCAUGCAAGUCGAACGGGAGUGAGGCCCUUCGGGGUUUCAUGAGAGUGGCGAACGGGUGAGUAACACGUAGGUGAUCUACCCUUGGGUGGGGAAUAGCCCAUGGAAACAUGGGGUAAUACCGCAUGAGGUCUUUCUGCGUAAAGCGGAUGGAUAAAAGGAGCAAUUGUUCCGCCUGGGGAUGAGCCUGCGGUCCAUUAGCUAGUUGGUGUGGUAAGAGCGCACCAAGGCGACGAUGGAUAGCCGGCCUGAGAGGGUGCACGGUCACACUGGGACUGAGACACGGCCCAGACUCCUACGGGAGGCAGCAGCUAAGAAUCUUCCGCAAUGGGGGAAACCCUGACGGAGCGACGCCGCGUGGGCGAAGAAGGCCGCAAGGUUGUAAAGCCCUUUUCUUGACGAAGAAUAAGGCAAGGAGUGGAACGCCUUGCUGAUGACGUUAGUCGAGGAAGAAGCCCCGGCCAAUUACGUGCCAGCAGCCGCGGUAACACGUAUGGGGCAAGCGUUGUUCGGAAUUACUGGGCGUAAAGGGUGCGUAGGCGGUUCAGCAAGCUUGGUGUUAAAUCCCCCGGCCUAACCGGGGAGCAGCGCUGGGAACUGCUGGGCUGGAGUUCAGGAGGGGAAGCUGGAAUUCCUGGUGUAGGGGUGAAAUCUGUAGAGAUCAGGAAGAACACCGAUGGCGAAGGCAAGCUUCUGGCCAUGGACUGACGCUGAGGCACGAAAGCGUGGGGAGCGAACAGGAUUAGAUACCCUGGUAGUCCACGCCGUAAACGAUGUGCACUAGGUGUUGGGGCGAUGAAAGCCUCGGUGCCGUAGCGAACGUGUUAAGUGCACCGCCUGGGGAGUAUGCUCGCAAGGGUGAAACUCAAAGGAAUUGACGGGGGCCGCACAGCGGUGGAGCCACGUUGUUUAUUCGAUGAUACGCGAGGACUUACCAGGCUUGACAUUGUGCAUGGCGGUUCUGUGGAGAGCAGGCUUUCCCGCAGGACGUGUACACAGUGCUGCAUGCUGUCGUCAGCUCGUGUCGUGAAAAUGUCGUAGUUCGCACGAGGCACCCCUACUGUCUGUUGCCAGGCGUAUGGUGGCACUUGGACGGAACUGCGGUACAUCGAGAACUGAUGACUCAGGUCAUCAUGCCCUUAGGUCCGGCUAACACCCGGUCCUACAUGGCC
rnacentral:rRNA from 1 species